GCGGAUGUGGCGGAACUGGUAGACGCGCCAGAUUUAGGUUCUGGUAACGAAAGUUGUGGGGGUUCAAGUCCCUUCAUCCGCACCA
rnacentral:tRNA from 2 species